rnacentral:rRNA from 1 species
ACGGAAGGCAGCAGUCGGGAAUAUUGCGCAAUGGAGGGAACUCUGACGCAGUGACGCCGCGUAUAGGAAGAAGGUUUUCGGAUUGUAAACUAUUUUAGACAGGGAAGAACAAAGACAGUACCUGUAGAAUAAGCUCCGGCUAACUACGUGCCAGCAGCCGCGGUAAUACGUAGGGAGCAAGCGUUAUCCGGAUUUAUUGGGUGUAAAGGGUGCGUAGACGGGAAAGCAAGUUAGUUGUGAAAGCCCUCGGCUCAACUGAGGAACUGCAACUAAAACUAUUUUUCUUGAGUACAGGAGAGGAAAGCGGAAUUCCUAGUGUAGCGGUGAAAUGCGUAGAUAUUAGGAGGAACACCAGUGGCGAAGGCGGCUUUCUGGACUGCAACUGACGUUGAGGCACGAAAGUGUGGGGAGCAAACAGGAUUAGAUACCCUGGUA